CAGACACUAGUUUCGGAUACACCUGAACCUGUUAAUCAGGAAGACUUAGUAGCAGAACCUGAGCCAAGUACAUCGGGUAUCCAGAAAUCGUAUAUUCCAGAAAAAAAACUUGAAAUAAGUGAUUACUCAAGUGACGAUUCUGUUACUGACCCUACAUUUGUACCUGAAAGUUCUAAUGGUGUCGUAGGGCAUACACAAUUGGAAGUUAAUGACGUGCAUAAUCCUCCUGAGAUUCUAUCUUCUUCCGAUGAUAUUACACAACCAGUUACAGUUACAGAAAACAGAAAGAGAAAACGGGAAAGAAAAACUAAAUACGGCUAUACAAGUUUAUCAUCCACAUGACUGGAUGCAACUGAUUCGUACAAGCAGUAAUAAAUUUAAGGUUGUUGAAAUGCAACAGGCUGAUUUCUUUGAUUUUGCUGCUUUGCUUAAAGGUCCUCUUAUUAUGCAAAAAAA
rnacentral:lncRNA from 1 species